UACGUAGGGGGGCAAGCGUUAUCCGGAAUUACUGGGCGUAAAGGGUGUCUAGGCGGCAAAGCAAGUCUUGCGUGAAAGCUCCCCGGCUCAACUGGGAGAGCGCGCAGGAAACUGCUUGGCUAGAGACUCGGAGGGGGGGUGUGGAAUUCCCGGUGGAGUGGUGAAAUGCGUUGAGAUCGGGAGGAACACCAGUAGCGAAGGCGGCACCCUGGCCGAGGUCUGACGCUGAAGCACGGACAAGCGUGGGG
rnacentral:rRNA from 1 species